rfam:Vahlkampfiidae sp. SK1 18S ribosomal RNA gene, complete sequence.
CGACUGGUUGAUCCUGCCAGUAGUCAUAUGCUUGUCUCAAAGACUAAGCCAUGCACAUGUAAGAUCGGCAUAGGCUUUACUGCUUCGGCAGUUUGCUCAUUGUUAAUCUGUGGACAGCUCAUUAUAACAGUUAUACACUUAGCCACUGGUACGUUUGGCGCAAGCCAAUUACAAGGAUAACUUUGUCAAAUGCAGCGAUAAUACUUGAGUGACGAGUCGGUGCAAGCCGACUGGCAUUAGCGUCUAUGUCUCACGAUUGUGAGGAAACCGCGCUACUGUAACUCUUGGUUUACUGGCGGGCUUGCUCGUCAGUGGCCGGAGCGUCGACCAUUAGGAGUGCGCAAGCACACAAAGUUUGUCAGACAGUGUUUUAAUAAGGCUCUGUAUGGUAGCUUUUACUAGUGGCCAGGAAGAGGUGUUUCUUAUCUAUCAGCUGAAGUUGUUUCAGUAAGGGUAAAACACGGCGAUUACGGAUACGGGGGAUCAGUGUCUGAUUCCGGAGAGGGAGCCUGAGAAAUGGCUACUACAUCUAAGGACGGCAGCAGGCGCGAAAAUUACCCAAUCUCAAUUCGAGGAGGUAGUGACAAGAAAUAACAACUUUACACCAUUUGGUGGAAAGGUACUAUCUAAUAGUUUGGAAUGGUUUUAGAUUAAAAUUCUAUUAGAGUAACGACUAGAGGAAAAGUCUGGUGCCAGCACCCGCGGUAAUUCCAGCUCUAGUAGCGUAUAUUAAUACUGUUGUAGUUAAAACGCUCGUAGUUGACCUAAGGACCAUAGGUUUGAAUUCGGACUUACCCGUCUUAUGUAGCUCCGUGUUAUAACGGGGUUGCGGGGCGCGUGGUUGGUACCACGGCAUCCUGCCCCAUGGAUUUCAUCCUUGGGUGUUCAGGUGUGGGUUCUACCUGUGGUACGAUCCUUGCCAAUGGUUCGCCAUUGGUAAAGGCCUUAUGGUACAACUGUAAACAAAUCAGAGUGCUCAAAGCAGGCAUUGUUAAUGGGGAUUUAUCCUCAGUUUUGCUUGAAUGAUUUAGCAUGGGAUUGUCUUGGAGCCGUGAAUAGUGCCUAUUCGUUCUCGGGUAGGUUGCUGUUCACUGGCGCUUGUAAUGUGAAGCAGGGAGAGGGCUCAAGUACUAUGGUGCUAGAGGUGAAAUUUAGAUACCAGCAUAUGACUUUCUGAUGCGAAAGCUGUUAUUGUCCAAUACACUUCUUUCGAUCAGGGACGAAAGUUAGGGGAUCGAAGAUGAUUAGAUACCGUCGUAGUCCUAACUAUAAACGAUACCAACAAGAGAUUGGUAGUGAAACCAUUUAAUAGAUCCUCUCAGAAUCCAAGGGAAACCUAAAGUCUUUGGGUUCUGGGGGGAGUAUAGUCGCAAGGCCGAAACUUAAAGGAAUUGACGGAAAGGCACCACCAGGAGUGGAGUUUGCGGCUUAAUUCGACUCAACGCGGGAAAACUCACCAGGUCAGGACAGAGGUAUGAUUGACAGGUUGAAAGUCUUUUCUUGAUUCUCUGGAUGGUGGUGCAUGGCCGUUCUUAGUUCGUGGAGUGAUUUGUCUUGUUAAUUCAGUUAACGAACGAGACCUUAACCUACUAACUAGGCUAUAGGCCAGCUUUCGGGCUGGUUAGUUUCUUUCGGGGUGGUUCGUAUGAGCCAUCUCUUUGAAACCUAUAAUAUGGGUCUUCACUUUCGGGUGGAGUCCUUGCUUCUUAGAGGGACAAUCUUCGUUUAUAUUAGAGUAAGGAAGUUUAAGGCAAUAACAGGUCUGUGAUGCCCUUAGAUGUCCUGGGCAGCACGCGUACUACACUGUUAAUACUAACAAGUCAGUACAAUGUGAAUCUUCGGUGUUCACUGGCCUUCUCCUUAAAGGAGUGGGAAAUCUUUUCAAACAUUAACGUGACAGGGAUAGCUGUUUGGAAUUCCAUCUUGAACGAGGAAUUCCUAGUAAUCGCGAUUCAUUAUAUCGCAUUGAUUACGUCCCUGCCUUUUGUACACACCGCCCGUCGCUCCUACCGAUGGAACAAAAAGGUGAAUUUGACGGACUUGACCUCGGCCUUGGGGAAAUUAACUGAACCUUUUUGUUUGUAGGAAGGAGAAGUCGUAACAAGGUCUUCGUAGGUGAACCUGCGGAGGGAUCAGGA